GAUGAACGCUGGCGGCGUGCCUAAUACAUGCAAGUCGAGCGAACAGACGAGGAGCUUGCUCCUCUGACGUUAGCGGCGGACGGGUGAGUAACACGUGGAUAACCUACCUAUAAGACUGGGAUAACUUCGGGAAACCGGAGCUAAUACCGGAUAAUAUAUUGAACCGCAUGGUUCAAUAGUGAAAGACGGUUUUGCUGUCACUUAUAGAUGGAUCCGCGCCGCAUUAGCUAGUUGGUAAGGUAACGGCUUACCAAGGCAACGAUGCGUAGCUGACCUGAGAGGGUGAUCGGCCACACUGGAACUGAGACACGGUCCAGACUCCUACGGGAGGCAGCAGUAGGGAAUCUUGCGCAAUGGGCGAAAGCCUGACGGAGCAACGCCGCGUGAGUGAUGAAGGUCUUCGGAUCGUAAAACUCUGUUAUUAGGGAAGAACAAAUGUGUAAGUAACUAUGCACGUCUUGACGGUACCUAAUCAGAAAGCCACGGCUAACUACGUG
rnacentral:rRNA from 1 species